rnacentral:misc_RNA from 1 species
AGAACGUGCGUACAAACUAUCCUGAGUGUCCUCUUUGCGGCCAUUUCCGGAUGCACUUCUGCACAUUCAAUUGCCUUAUACCACUCCUGAAGGGAGACGUAGAACAAGUUGUCCACCAAAGAGACUCUUCACAUAGUAGUAGCAGAAAUCAGCGAGAAUGAAUGUCUGGACAAUUUCUGAAAGGAGGACCAUAGGUGGCCACAAUCCAUAGCCCAGUGCUGUCAGAAGGCGGCCUCGAGUAUCCAAUACCUGAAGCACCCAAUGC